rnacentral:rRNA from 1 species
AACGAACGCUGGCGGCAUGCCUAACACAUGCAAGUCGAACGAGACCUUCGGGUCUAGUGGCGCACGGGUGCGUAACGCGUGGGAACCUGCCUUUAGGUUCGGAAUAACUCAGAGAAAUUUGAGCUAAUACCGGAUGAUGUCUUCGGACCAAAGAUUUAUCGCCUUUAGAUGGGCCCGCGUUGGAUUAGCUAGUUGGUGGGGUAAAGGCCUACCAAGGCGACGAUCCAUAGCUGGUCUGAGAGGAUGAUCAGCCACACUGGGACUGAGACACGGCCCAGACUCCUACGGGAGGCAGCAGUGGGGAAUAUUGCACAAUGGGCGCAAGCCUGAUGCAGCAACGCCGCGUGAGGGACGACGGCCUUCGGGUUGUAAACCUCUUUUAGUAGGGAAGAAGCGAAAGUGACGGUACCUGCAGAAAAAGCACCGGCUAACUACGUG